rnacentral:rRNA from 1 species
AAGGGCACCACAAGAACGCGUGGAGCAUGUGGCUUAAUUUGACUCAACGCGGGAAAUCUUACCGGGUCCGGACACACUGAGGAUUGACAGGCAAUAUUAAAAGAAAAAUUUUAAUUUUCGGAUUAAAUAUUUUUUUUUAUGUUAAAUAUGCUAGUCCUUUCAUGAUUAUGUGAUAGGUGGUGCAUGGCCGUUCUUAGUUCGUGGAGUGAUCUGUCUGCUUAAUUGCGUUUCACUAAGGGCUUAUAAAUUACGUGUGCUGUGGGUACCUUGACCCCUAUAUUGAAAUAUAUAUAGUGCGUGUCUCGGUUUGCUUUCACUCACACAAUUAAGUCCUGAAAGCAACGAACGUGACCGCAACCUCUUGUUGCCUCUAAACCAAACGGUAAUUUAUAAUUAAAAUUUAUUUUUUAGUUUUUAUUGCUAAAAAGAGGCUUUUUAAACUAGAGGGACCGCUGUAAUCUUUUUAAACCAGAGGAAGGUUGCGGCAGUAACAGGUCUGUGAUGCCCUUAGAUGUUCCGGGCUGCACACGUGCUACAAUGAUUAUUGCAGUGAGCAUCUCAUUUAUUAUACACCGCAUGCAUGAGUCCAGUUUGCCUAAAUUUUAGUCUUCGGGCGAAGGAUUUAGUGUUAAACUGUGUUACUUUAUGCGCGGUAAAGCCUGCUUCGAAAGUAAGCGGGUAAUCAAUUAGAAGUAAUGAUUUCCCAAUUUAUAGCACACAUAUAUACGGCAUUUUUACCCGGAUUAAGCUUGUCUUAAUUUUUGUGUGUAAUAAUGUUUUUUCCGUAUGUGCAAUUGUCAAUUCAUGGUGGGGACAGACCAUUGUUAAUUGUUGGUCUCGGUCUUAACUAGGAAUGCCUUGUACGGGUCUUGGUUCAACAAACCACCCGGAAUACGUCCCUGCCCUUUGUACACACCGCCCGUCGCUCUUACCGAUGGACUUCUCUGUGAGUUUGAGGGACUGGGUAUUAAGAAAAAAUUUAUUUUAUCUUUACCACCUAUGGGAACUUAAACGAACAGUGUGGUCUAAAGGAAAGAGAAGUCGUAACAAGGCUUCAGUAGGUGAACCU